rnacentral:rRNA from 1 species
AGAGUUUGAUCCUGGCUCAGAUUGAACGCUGGCGGCAGGCCUAACACAUGCAAGUCGAACGGUAACAGGAAGCAGCUUGCUGCUUCGCUGACGAGUGGCGGACGGGUGAGUAAUGUCUGGGAAACUGCCUGAUGGAGGGGGAUAACUACUGGAAACGGUAGCUAAUACCGCAUAACGUCGCAAGACCAAAGAGGGGGACCUUCGGGCCUCUUGCCAUCGGAUGUGCCCAGAUGGGAUUAGCUAGUAGGUGGGGUAACGGCUCACCUAGGCGACGAUCCCUAGCUGGUCUGAGAGGAUGACCAGCCACACUGGAACUGAGACACGGUCCAGACUCCUACGGGAGGCAGCAGUGGGGAAUAUUGCACAAUGGGCGCAAGCCUGAUGCAGCCAUGCCGCGUGUAUGAAGAAGGCCUUCGGGUUGUAAAGUACUUUCAGCGGGGAGGAAGGCGACAGGGUUAAUA